UACGAAGGGGGCUAGCGUUGUUCGGAAUUACUGGGCGUAAAGAGCACGUAGGCGGUUAUUUAAGUCAGGGGUGAAAUCCCAGGGCUCAACUUUGGAACUGCCUUUGAUACUGGGUAUCUAGAGUAUGGAAGAGGUGAGUGGAAUUCCGAGUGUAGAGGUGAAAUUCGUAGAUAUUCGGAGGAACACCGGUGGCGAAGGCGGCUCACUGGUCCAUAACUGACGCUGAGGUGCGAAAGCGUGGGGAGCAAACAGG
rnacentral:rRNA from 1 species